rnacentral:rRNA from 1 species
UACAGAGGGGGCAAGCGUUAUUCGGAAUUAUUGGGCGUAAAGGGCGCGUAGGCGGCUUGGCAAGUGGAUGGUGAAAUCCCUCGGCUUAACCGAGGAACUGCCGUCCAAACUGCUUGGCUUGAGACCGGGAGAGGUGAGUGGAAUUCCCAGUGUAGCGGUGAAAUGCGUAGAUAUUUGGGAGGAACACCAGUGGCGAAGGCGGCUCACUGGACCGGUACUGACGCUGAUGCGCGAAAGCGUGGGGAGCAAACGGG